rnacentral:rRNA from 1 species
UACGGAGGGGGCUAGCGUUGUUCGGAUUUACUGGGCGUAAAGCGCGCGCAGGCGGCAUGGCAAGUAAGGUGUGAAAUCUCCCUGCCUAACGGGGAGGGUGCAUUUUAGACUGCCAAGCUAGAGGACGGUAGAGGGGGGUAGAAUUCCUGGUGUAGCGGUGGAAUGCGCAGAUAUCAGGAGGAACACCGAUGGCGAAGGCAGGUCUCUGGGCCGCAACUGACGCUGAGGAGCGAAAGCAUGGGGAGCGAACAGG